rnacentral:lncRNA from 1 species
AAAAGAAUGAUGAAUCAUAUUAUUAUCCACCAAAAAGUUAUAGCCAGUUUUCCUGGAACAACCCCAUAACAACUCAAUACUUCAUCCAUGAAUGGAUGGGGGAAGAUGGAACCCUGCCUUAAGCAGGCAGAUAGAAACCUAGCCUCCUACCAUUGUGCUUAGAACCAUACAUGGUGCUUAAGGCAUAAGACCCCUCCGUGAUGUUGAAUUUAUACUUAUAGCGUUUGAUCAACAACAUACAGAAUUAGUGUAACUGCUU